ACAACGGGUGGAGCUUGCGGUUUAAUUGGAUCAACGCCGGAAAUCUUACCGGACCGACAGCAAUAUGAAGGCCAGGCUGAAGACUUUGCCGGAUUAGCUGAGAGGUGGUGCAUGGCCGUCGUCAGUUCGUACUGUGAAGCAUCCUGUUAAGUCAGGCAACGAGCGAGACCCACGCCCACAGUUGCCAGCGUACUCUCUGGAGUGACGGGUACACUGUGGGGACCGCCGCUGCUAAAGCGGAGGAAGGAAUGGGCAACGGUAGGUCAGUAUGCCCCGAAUAUCCCGGGCUACACGCGAGCUACAAUGGUUGGUACAAUGGGUAUCUACCCCGAAAGGGGACGGGAAUCUCCUAAAACCAAUCUUAGUUCGGAUUGAGGGCUGCAACUCGCCCUCAUGAAGCUGGAAUCCGUAGUAAUCGCGUUUCAACAGAACGCGGUGAAUACGUCCCUGCUCCUU
rnacentral:rRNA from 1 species